GAACUCAUAGCUCAGUGGUAGAGCGGCAGAUUGCAGACCUGCAGGUCACCGGAUCAACCCCGGUUGGGUUCU